UACGUAGGGGGCUAGCGUUGUCCGGAAUCAUUGGGCGUAAAGAGCGUGUAGGCGGCUUGGUAAGUCCGCUGUGAAAGUCCAGGGCUCAACCCUGGAAUGCCAGUGGAUACUGUCAAGCUAGAGUCCGGAAGAGGCGAGUGGAAUUCCUGGUGUAGCGGUGAAAUGCGCAGAUAUCAGGAGGAACACCGGUGGCGAAGGCGGGUCUCUGGGCAUAACUGACGUGAGGAGCGAAAGCGUGGGGAGCGAACAGG
rnacentral:rRNA from 1 species